rnacentral:rRNA from 1 species
UACGUAGGGUGCAAGCGUUGUCCGGAAUUACUGGGCGUAAAGAGCUCGUAGGUGGUUUGUCGCGUCGUCUGUGAAAGCCCCGGGGCUUAACUCCGGGUCUGCAGGCGAUACGGGCAUAACUAGAGGUGCUGUAGGGGAGACUGGAAUUCCGUGGUGUAAGCGGUGAAAUGCGCAGAAUAUCAUGAGGAACACCGAUGGCGAAGGCAGGUCUCUGGGGCAGUAACUGACGCUGAGGAGCGAAAAGCAUG